AUUGAACGCUGGCGGCAGGCUUAACACAUGCAAGUCGAGCGGGGUGAUGGUGCUUGCACUAUCACUUAGCGGCGGACGGGUGAGUAAUGCUUAGGAAUCUGCCUAUUAGUGGGGGACAACAUCCCGAAAGGGAUGCUAAUACCGCAUCCGUCCUACGGGAGAAAGCAGGGGAUCACUUGUGACCUUGCGCUAAUCGAUGAGCCUAAGUCGGAUUAGCUAGUUGGUGGGGUAAAGGCCUACCAAGGCGACGAUCUGUAGCGGGUCUGAGAGGAUGAUCCGCCACACUGGGACUGAGACACGGCCCAGACUCCUACGGGAGGCAGCAGUGGGGAAUAUUGGACAAUGGGGGGAACCCUGAUCCAGCCAUGCCGCGUGUGUGAAGAAGGCCUUAUGGUUGUAAAGCACUUUAAGCGAGGAGGAGGCUCUUUUGGUUAAUACCCAAGAUGAGUGGACGUUACUCGCAGAAUAAGCACCGGCUAACUCUGUGCCAGCCGCCGCCGUAA
rnacentral:rRNA from 1 species